AGAGUUUGAUUAUGGCUCAGGACGAACGCUGGCGGCGUGCUUAACACAUGCAAGUCGAGCGAUGAAGCUCCUUCGGGAGUGGAUUAGCGGCGGACGGGUGAGUAACACGUGGGUAACCUGCCUCAUAGAGGGGAAUAGCCUUUCGAAAGGAAGAUUAAUACCGCAUAAGAUUGUAGUACCGCAUGGUACAGCAAUUAAAGGAGUAAUCCGCUAUGAGAUGGAUCCGCGUCGCAUUAGCUAGUUGGUGAGGUAACGGCUCACCAAGGCGACGAUGCGUAGCCGACCUGAGAGGGUGAUCGGCCACAUUGGGACUGAGACACGGCCCAGACUCCUACGGGAGGCAGCAGUGGGGAAUAUUGCACAAUGGGGGAAACCCUGAUGCCAGCAACGCCGCGUGAGUGAUGACGGCCUUCGGGUUGUAAAACUCUGUCUUUGGGGACGAUAAUGACGGUACCCAAGGAGGAAGCCACGGCUAACUACGUGCCAGCAGCAGC
rnacentral:rRNA from 1 species